GACAGAGGGUGCAAACGUUGUUCGGAAUUACUGGGCGUAAAGCGCGUGUAGGCGGCUCUGCAAGUCGGGUGUGAAAUCCCACGGCUCAACCAUGGAAGUGCACUCGAAACUGCAGGGCUAGAGUCCUGGAGAGGAAGGUGGAAUGCUUGGUGUAGAGGUGAAAUGCGUAGAUAUUGGGAGGAACACCAGUGGCGAAGGCGGCUCACUGGACUGGUACUGACGCUGAGGCGCGAAAGCGUGGGGAGCAAACGGG
rnacentral:rRNA from 1 species